AUUGCUUCUUGGCCUUUUGGCCAAGAUCAAGUGUAGAGAUCUGUUCUUUUCAGCUUCACAUCUGAUACAUCCUCUGAGGACCACAUAUUAAAUGGAUUUUUGGAGCAGGAGAUGGAAUAGGGACUUGCUCUGCCCACGCCACCGCUCAUUGACCCAGCGAUUCAGUACCUCUGGGAAACGCGCACUCGCU